rnacentral:rRNA from 1 species
UACGUAGGUGGCAAGCGUUGUCCGGAUUUAUUGGGUUUAAAGGGUGCGUAGGCGGCUUAAUAAGUCAGUGGUGAAAGCCGGUAGCUUAACUAUCGAAAUGCCAUUGAUACUGCUAGGCUUGAGUACAGUUGAGGUAGGCGGAAUUGACAGUGUAGCGGUGAAAUGCUUAGAUAUUGUCAAGAACACCAAUUGCGAAGGCAGCUUACUAAAGUGUAACUGACGCUGAGGCACGAAAGUGCGGGGAUCAAACAGGAUUAGAUACCCUGGUAGUCCGCACUGUAAACGAUGAUCACUCGCUGUGUGCGAUAAACAGUACGCGGCUAAGCGAAAGCGAUAAGUGAUCCACCUGGGGAGUACGCCGGCAACGGUGAA